rnacentral:rRNA from 1 species
GACGAACGCUGGCGGCGUGCUUAACACAUGCAAGUCGAACGGAAAGGCCCUGCUUGCAGGGUACUCGAGUGGCGAACGGGUGAGUAACACGUGGGUGAUCUGCCCUGCACUUCGGGAUAAGCCUGGGAAACUGGGUCUAAUACCGGAUAGGAGCCAUUUUUAGUGUGAUGGUUGGAAAGUUUUUUCGGUGUAGGAUGAGCUCGCGGCCUAUCAGCUUGUUGGUGGGGUAAUGGCCUACCAAGGCGGCGACGGGUAGCCGGCCUGAGAGGGUGGACGGCCACAUUGGGACUGAGAUACGGCCCAGACGCCUACGGGAGGCAGCAGUGGGGAAUAUUGCACAAUGGGCGCAAGCCUGAUGCAGCGACGCCGCGUGGGGGAUGACGGCCUUCGGGUUGUAAACUCCUUUCGCGAGGGACGAAGCUUUUUGUGACGGUACCUAGAGAAGAAGCACCGGCUAACUACGUG